AGCGAACGCUGGCGGCAGGCUUAACACAUGCCAGUCGAACGGGCUUCUUCGGAAGUCAGUGGCAGACGGGUGAGUAACACGUGGGAACGUGCCCUUCGGUUCGGAAUAACUCAGGGAAACUUGAGCUAAUACCGGAUACGCCCUUUUGGGGAAAGGUUUACUGCCGAAGGAUCGGCCCGCGUCUGAUUAGCUUGUUGGUGGGGUAACGGCCUACCAAGGCGACGAUCAGUAGCUGGUCUGAGAGGAUGAUCAGCCACACUGGGACUGAGACACGGCCCAGACUCCUACGGGAGGCAGCAGUGGGGAAUAUUGGACAAUGGGCGCAAGCCUGAUCCAGCCAUGCCGCGUGAGUGAUGAAGGCCUUAGGGUUGUAAAGCUCUUUUGUCCGGGACGAUAAUGACGGUACCGGAAGAAUAAGCCCCGGCUAACUUCGUG
rnacentral:rRNA from 1 species